UUGGAUAUAAUAUACAUUAGAAGUAAGGAGAACUUCAAAAAGUACAAUAAUCUGCUUGAAAUAGAAAAAAGAUUUUAUUUUGAUUAAAACAACACUUUUAUGAUUGCAUAUAUAGAUAAUUUUACAAGGCAAAAUAUUGCACAGCGAGAAGAAAUCAGCAUCCUUGGUGGAACCCUCAAUGAUCUGGCUAAAGAAAAGGAAUGCCUGCAAGCAUGUUUGGAUAAAAAAUCUGAGAAUAUUGCAUCCCUUGGAGAGAGUUUGGCAAUGAAAACAGUCUACUGAGGCCCUAAUUAUGUGUGAACAAGACAUUUCCAGAAUGCGUCGGCAAUUGGAUGAGACAAAUGAUGAGUUGGCCCAGAUUGCCAGGGAAAGAGAUAUCUUGGCUCAUGACAAUGACAAUCUCCAGGAACAGUUUGCCAAAGCUAAACAAGAAAACCAGGCACUGUCCAAAAAAUUGAAUGACACUCAUAAUGAACUUAAUGACAUAAAACAGAAGGUUCAAGAUACUAAUUUGGAGGUUAACAAGCUGAAGAAUAUAUUAAAGUCUGAAGAAUCUGAGAACCGGCAAAUGAUGGAACAACUUCGAAAAGCCAAUGAAGAUGCUGAAAACUGGGAAAAUAAAGCCCGUCAAUCAGAGGCGGAUAACAAUACCCUCAAACUGGAACUUAUCACUGCUGAGGCAGAGGGUAACAGAUUAAAAGAAAAAGUAGAUUCCCUCAACAGAGAGGUCGAGCAA
rnacentral:sRNA from 1 species